GGGACCACACAUUUUGGGGGGUUAAACCUUUCUUUUUCUCCAAGAAUUUGAAAAAACAAACUUAGACAUAUAUUAAUUUCACCCACAUUUGGGGAGGCAACAGACAUCUACAGAGAACAGAAACGGCGAGAUUAGCAGCAAAAAAACCCUUAGCCACCGCAGACCAUCUCCUACUCCCUCACGUUCUCGCCAUGGAAACCAGCCAUUAAAAUACCAUGUAAACCUCCACUAAACAAUCUCCAAAAACAAGCCAAUACCUUCAUUAACAACACAUCCAAACACCUGUAAAAUCUGGUCACCAACAAACUCACUUUUAAGUUUUCACCGCUAUGGGUUUUCGAGUUUUCCGGUGAGGUUCGACCCAUCAAGUUCGCUCGGCGAAGUAGUGGUCAUUAGCUUUCCAUUCAAUCGAGUGUUUUGGGUUGAGGUGUUGUUUGGGAUUCUCCGCUUCGACGGUCUGGUCCAACGUUGCGGAUUCAAGUUUUUCAUCUAAGGUAUGGACCCGUUGAUUCGAUCCAAACUGCUGAUGGUAGUAAAGAUUCCCAAGAAAUUUAUCAAGUGGUGGAAAAUGUUUUCAUUGUUAGAGCAACAUGAGUUAAUGCAGAAAUUGGGCACCAUAACUUCUCUUCUUGAUAUCACACCUUGCCCAGACUUAGUGGAGGCGAUGCUGACUUAUUGGGAUCCGCAAAAUUUGAUUUUCAGAUUUGGAGAGUGUGAGAUGACUCCUACCUUGGCGGAAAUGUCUGGUCUCACUCGUUUAAGCUAUAUAGGCAAGGACAUGAUACUUCCCCGAGACCACUCUAGGACAAGAUUACUCAGCGACCUGGGCCUGAAAGAUAAUAAGCAUUUAAAAUGUCUCGAGCAAUCCUGGAUAUCCUUGGAUUAUUUAUUUGCUAGGUUUGGACCACAUGAUAGUUUUGACGUCUUUUGGGAUGCGUUCUGCACAACCAAGGUGAAGUGGGAAAGACAUCGCCUCGAAGCUUUCAGCCUUGCUUUGUUAGGAUUAUUGGGUUUUCCAUUAGAUGAGAGGCACAUUAGCACCCGUCUGCAGUCAGUGGUAAUGGCAGUAUUUCAUUAGUAGCAAUGCAAAAUCGUUACCGUUGUACCGAUGAUCUUAGAAAAGUUGUACCGAUCCCUGAGUGAGGUUAGGGGAGGUGUCAGAUAUUUUGAGGGAAGUAACCUUUUGCUACAACUGUGGAUGAUGGAGCAUUUGCACACCGCUUCCUUACUUUGUCCCAUCGACUGUGCCUUGAGGGAUCGGGUGGUAUGCAUUGAGCGUAGGAUGAAAUCUCCUAAGUUUACAUACCCAGUAGGCGUCACAGCUUGGAUUGAGUUCCUUGGUUUGAGGACAAAUGGGAAUGUUUUUGGGCUUACCUUUAGCUACCUUUGGAUGAUAUCUUGGUAGGGUGCCUCAUGCAGCCUUUCCUGAUGCUGAUAGGACUCAAGUGUGUCAGGUUGUUUACUCCCGUUAGGGUAAUGCGAUAGUUGGGCAGAAGAUAAAAGGAUCCUCCAACUUUGAAUCUUCGUAGGCACAUCAUGAAUUUUCGCAAAAAGGCGCCUGACGAAAUCAAGUAUGUGCAAUACUGGAACAAUGCAAAGAAUAUGAAGAAAAAUACAUUAGUAGAGGACGUUGGGAGGCCUGAGUGUACUCAGGAGUACUUGAUUUGGUUACAGUCCGUCCCGCCAGGGGUUAACACCCCAUUUCCAGCACAACUUAGGGGUCGGGCAGUUCAGACGGAUAAUUUUGAGGAGGCAUCGGACAAAGAUCCCUGGGAUAAGCUUGAGUUGAUAAAGUCUCAGUUAGCGGGAUUGGCAGCAAAUGUGGAGCAGCAUGGCUAGUAUUUGUUUACGGUCAGCCUUCAGGAUACGGGGGCACACGCCAGGGCCUUUAUUCCCAGCAUCGGUGUUUCUUUACGAGGCAUGUUACAGAGUUUGAGCAUGACGGACUGCCCAGGACCAUCCCAGUCAGGACCGUCGCAUUAAAGAGCAGCUUGAUGAGUCAUUCUAUUUAGGUGUUUUGAGAUUGUCUUAUAUUGUCUUUUACUUUCGCGUCUUGUCUAGGAGUACUGAGUCCUUUAGGUAGUGGCAGCGUUUGUCAUAGUGUAGUCGAGUCUGUCAUGUCUUUCAUUAUCAUACUUCUCUUUGUAUUUUAAUAUCAAAAAGUUUUGAACGAAAAAUCCCAAAAAGCUUUUGUUUUUA